UUUAUUUCCUCCCCUUUUUUUCUUUCUUUCUUUCUUUUUCUUUUUUUUUCUGAGAAGGUACCUGCAGUUAUCUCAGUUCAGUUCCCUGCUAGGAGUUUUAGUGAAGAAUGGUGGUUUGUGGUUGGAGGGUAGCUGUCUCAUCAUCAUUUGGGAGCUGGUGACACUAGACUUGCUGAUGUGCCCUGAGAGAGCAUUAAGAAGACAAAUUUGCAUUUAGAGAACCUGGGCCUGCUUCCAUCAUUUGAAGGCUGAGGAGGCUUGAGGCGCGCAUCCAUACAGCUGUGGAAGAGAUGCUGCUGUCAUUGGCCAAAACCAGCCCCGGAGACAGCAUGAUCCUGUCUUGCUACAGUGAGAAAACCCCCUUGUUUGCUUCCCAUGAUCCCUGGCUGCUGCGUGGUGAUAGGGCUUUGGGUAGCUGUCUUAGGAGACUCUGCCAGGCAGAGGAGGGAAGUAGGAGAAGAAAUGGGAAGGUUGGGGCUCCACCUUGUUGAGAGUGGCCAGGACAGGUGGUGAUUUUGGUGGCACCAGAGAAUAGAGAUCUCAUAAACUCCAGUUGCUGCCAAUCUUCUACGUAGCUCUUACAGUAAGGCUACCCCAGGUAGGGAAGAGGAUACACUGGAUACCAGGUGAUGCAGCAAAUGCAUUCACAUUUGCUACGUCAUAUCCUGCUCUCAGUACCCCUGAAAGGUAGGCAUUUUAAUCUCCACUUUAACCCACAGGGAAGAGAUCCACUUAGAGGAGCUAAGCAGUGGGGUGACCAUCACAUAUCUAGUAAAUGGUUUGGACCAAGGCCUGCCUGGCCCUAAAGCCCAUGCUUUUCAAAAUCAUAUCAGGCAGCCUCUCAAUUUCUCUGAGGAAGCUGGCACUAUGACAGUAAGAGGCUUGGCCAGUGGCAGAGCUGGUCUUGAAUCUGGGUCUUUUCCCAUGUCACUCAGCUGAGUCCCACUUGACCCACAGGAAGUCCAUUACAAAUAAGUACUUGCCCUUCCCAAAACAUCUACUGUUUCUGGUGAAUAAAAAGCUCUGGGGAGGUCGGGCACGGUGGCUCACGCCUGUAAUCCCAGCACAUUGGGAGGCCGAGGCAGGCGGAUCACGAGGUCAGGAGAUCGAGACCAUCCUGGCUAACAUGGUGAAACCCUGUCUGUACUAAAAAUACAAAAAAUUAGCCGGGCGUGGUGGCGGGCACCUGUAGUCCCAGCUACUCAGGAGGUUGAGGCAGGAGAAUGGCAUGAACCUGGGAGGCGGAGCUUGCAGUGAGCCGAGAUCGCGCCACUGUACUCCAGCCUGGGCGACAGAGCAAGACUGGGUCUCAAAAAUAAACAAAUAAAAAACAAAAACAAACAACAACAACAACAACAAAAAAAGCUCUGGGGAACUUGGGGACAAGUACUGUCACUGUGGAGAUCUCUCUGUCUCUCAGACUCAUCUCUCUCUCUCUCCCUCCAUCCAUCCAUCCAUCCAUCCAUGCAUGCAUACAUAUAUCAUCCAUUCAUCUGAUAUAGGAGUUAAGAAAUCCCUUAGGCAGAUAGUGAAGGUAUGGGAGUGCUCAGUAAGGUUUUUUCUUUUUAAUGGGGAGCAGCCACAAAUCAUUUUCUAACAAAAGCAGCAUGUAAAGUCAAGCUGCAGACAUAGACAAGAAAGCUGGGGGCUUGUACGGGUGAAUUCAGGCAGGAACUAGGGCCUAGACAUGUUCAAGAUGGUGGCUCCAUCUUCCCUUCUCUGCCAGCCACGUGUACAGUAAGGAGCAGACAAGAUGGCAUUGGCCAAGGGGAGAGUUCGUUUGCAUAAUAAGAUUAGGGUGGAGGGACCAGCCUUCUCUGUGUGCUAUGUAAACAUCACACCUGAUCAAACCAAUCUGUGAGCCCUACGUAAAUCAGACACUACCUCCUCAAGCCAGACUACAAAAUCCGGCACAUCAGCCACCAGCCCAUCUUUUCUGCUUGGAAGACCCCUCUCUCUCUAUAGAGAGAGCUGUUUUUCUUUCUCUUUCCUUCUGCCUAUUAAACCUCUGCUCCUAAACUCCUCAUGUGUGUCUGUGUCCUAAAUUUUCCUGGCACCAGAUGAUGAACCCUGGGUAUAUACCCCAGAAAACAUAGCCACUUCACAUCCAUGCCAACAUGCAUGCAUGCAUCCAUGCAUCCAUCCAUCCAUAAUGCAUGCCCACAUGCAUCCAUCUAGCCAUCCAUAAUCAUGCAUACAUGCAUCCAUAAUAAUGCAUGUCUACAUGCAUCCAGCAUCCAUCCAUCCAUCCAUAAUGCACGCCUACAUGCAUCCAUCUAUUCAUCUAUCCAUCCAUCCAUCUAUAAUGCAUACAUACAUACAUGCAUCCAUCCAUCCAUAAUGCAUGCAUACAUGCAUCCAUCCAUCAAUCUGUAAUGCAUGCAUACAUGCAUCCACCCAUCCAUCCAUCUAUCCAUCCAUCCAUCUAUAAUACAUACAUGCAUUCACCCAUCCAUAAUGCACACAUACAUGCACCCAUCCAUGCACCCAUCAUCCAUCCAUAAUGCAUGCAUAUGUGCAUCCAUCCAUCCAUCUAUAAUGCAUACAUACAUGCAUUCUUCCAUCCUUCUGUCCAUCCAUCCAUCCAUCCAUCCAUCCAUCCAUCCAUCCAUCCAUGUGUCUAUCUACCUUUGGAUUGGACACACAAAGCUGAUGACGUGAAACUGCUUCAGUGCCUCAUCGGCACCGUUCUCCCCCAAAACUUUGUCAAGAUGGCUGCUGUUGGCUGUGUAUUUUCACGGCUGGGCCUUUAUACCUGUUGGUGCCACCAGCUGAGUUCCUUUCUUCCUGCGUUUGCCUGAACAGUGCCAAUUGUUCUCCUGUAUCUGUUGCAAUCUGUGUCAGAAAGGGCGGGGUUGGGGGGAAGGGUUUUCUAUGAAACAAAACAAAACAAAAAACAAGUUGCAGGGAAACUGCUCAGUUAGGCCUAGCAUCAGGGAAGGCUCCCUGGGUGGGAAAGAUUAUCCUCCACAGGUGAGUUGGUAGACACCAUUCGCUGUGUUGAACUCAAUGGGGAGGUAAAAUUUGAUGGCCAGCAAGCCGGGUGUCACAGGUAGUGUGCUCUCCCCAUAGACACCUGCGCAUCAGAUGUCAGAACUCUUCUGUGCUCUUUGGAACUUGCUCCUUGCAGUGGUGAAUAACUUUUUAAGGUGACAGUACAGAGUCGCACACUGAGAUGGGGAGGAGCUACACGUCUUGGUUCCAGACCUAGCUCUGCCUCUUGUUGCUAUCUGUGUGACCUUGAGUGAGUCCCUCCCAUGUUUUUAUCCCUCCAUUUUUCCAUCUGUCAAUAGAGGGGCACCUUUAAUGACUGAAACAGGACUCUGAAAACAAAGUAGUAUCCUGAAAUGGAAGGAAGGCAUUGUUAGUGUUGGAGAUGGGGAGUCCCAUCACUUGCACUCUGGUGCUGAGACACACAGUCAUGCAUCACGUGUUUGUGCUUAUUAAAAUGUGCUGCAUCAUGUCUUCUCCUCUUUCUUCCCAAAUUUGUAUGUUGAAGUCCUAUCUCCUGGUACCUCAGCACGUGACUGUAUUUGGAGUUAGGGUCUUAAAGAGAUGAUGAAGUCAAAAUGAGGCUAUUUUGGUGGGCCCUCACUCAAUAUGACUGAUGUCCUUAAAAGAAUAAUAGAUAAAGACACAGAUGGGUACAGAGGGAAGGAAGAUGUGAAGACACAGGGGGAAUAUGGCCUCUACAAGCCACAAAGAGAUGCCUCAGAAGAAACCAAUCCUGUCGACACCUUGAUCUUUGACUUCCAGCCUCCAGAAUUGUGAGACAAUACAUCUGUGUUGUUUAA